CUGGAAAAAAAUCAAUCAGAGCUCACGCCCCGCGUCGCCGCCGCCGCUGCCGCCGCCGCAGUGGCCAGGAGUCAGGGCUGCAGGACGCUCUGCCGCAGUGCACGAUCGUCGCAACCGUCCAGCUCGGGCGAGUGUUGAAGAAUGCAAUGGAAAGUUCUUGGGCGAGCAUCUGGUGAAGACAUUCUAAGAACACAUCUGAAAUGAAGAAAGCAUGGUCUUUAGUAAAGAAAGGCAAAGCAAUGGGCCAACUUCCAAGGCACCCUGAAACUUGUAAAUGUUCCCUGUGUCACCUGUGUUGAACAAAGCCCUCGGUCAAUGGUAGGUAAGCUCCAAGAAAGUGGAUAGUUAUUAAAACAAAAUGGCUUUUCACAAUGGACUGCUGUGAGAUUUGUUUGAGACACCGAGCUCCAGCUCCCAGUCAUAAGGAUGGAGAUGUCUGCAAAGUCAUUGAGGAGAGUCCAAUAAACAGUGUCAAACGUCACUGGCUUUAGAAGGACCAAUUUCACGGGACAGUUGCUCAGAAAGUCAAUUGCUAUAUGCUUGUAGUAAAACACUCAGUGUAUUCAUACCACUAAAUGCUGC
rnacentral:lncRNA from 1 species